rnacentral:ncRNA from 2 species
UAAACGUUGUGUGACUGGCGGAACAUGGGGAACCAUGAGGGAGCACAUCGAUAACGGCCGUACGCCUGGGCAAGAGGU